rnacentral:rRNA from 1 species
ACUAGGUGUGGGGGGCCUUUUCCGGGUCUUCCGCGCCGUAGCUAACGCAUUAAGUGCCCCGCCUGGGGAGUACGGCCGCAAGGCUAAAACUCAAAGGAAUUGACGGGGGCCCGCACAAGCGGCGGAGCAUGCGGAUUAAUUCGAUGCAACGCGAAGAACCUUACCAAGGCUUGACAUGUGCCGGUCGGUCCCGGAGACGGGGCUUCCUCCUUGUGGGGCCGGUUCACAGGUGGUGCAUGGCUGUCGUCAG